rnacentral:rRNA from 1 species
GACGAACGCUGGCGGCGUGCUUAACACAUGCAAGUCGAACGGGUCUGCCCUGUUUUUUGCGGGGUGGGUCAGUGGCGAACGGGUGAGUAACACGUGAGUAACCUGCCCCUCACUUCUGGAUAACCGCUUGAAAGGGUGGCUAAUACGGGGUGUUCUGGCUGUGCCGCAUGGUGUGGCUGGGAAAGAUUCACUUGUGUGGAGUUUUGGUGGGGGAUGGGGUCGUGGCCUAUCAGCUUGUUGGUGGGGUGAUGGGCUGCGAAGGCUUUGACGGGUAGCCGGCCUGCGAGGGUGGGCGGUCAGACUGGGACUGAGAUACGGCCGAGAGUCCUGCGGGCGGCAGCAGUGGGGGGUAUUGCAGAAUGGGAGGAAGCAUGAUGCAGCGACGUCGCGUGAGGGAUGGAGGCCUUCGGGUUGUGAACCUCUUUCGUCGGUGCAGAAUGUCCUGCUCUUUGGGGUGGGGUUGACGGUAGCCGGGUUAUGAAGCGCCGGCUAACUACGUG